rnacentral:rRNA from 1 species
UACGUAGGUGGCGAGCGUUAUCCGGAAUUACUGGGCGUAAAGGGUGUGUAGGCGGGACUGCAAGUCAGAUGUGAAAAUUACGGGCUUAACCUGUAAACUGCAUUUGAAACUGUGGUUCUUGAGAGCCGGAGGGGUAAAUGGAAUACCCAGUGUAGCGGUGAAAUGCGUAGAUAUUGGGAGGAACACCAGUGGCGAAGGCGAUUUACUGGACGGCAACUGACGCUGAGACACGAAAGUGUGGGGAGCAAACAGG